GGGGCCGAUACGGCAUUCGACCGGACGGGAGCAAGCUCGGUGUGGCGCGUCGAGGGGCGUGUAGGCCUCGUAAAAAAGCACGCAACUUUAUAACUGCCGAACCGCAGUUCGCACUCGCGGCUUAAUAAAGCCGUGGAUCCCUCGCCCGACGCCUGAUGAGGCGGGGGAUCAUGAUCAUCGGGCUGGUCCGUGUGUGGUGCACCCUGGCACACGGGCGAGGAGGUUUCAGGGGGCUGGAUGCGAAGCCAGGGUGUCGCUGCCCGGGCGAGCGUCGAGAUUAAAUCAGCGACUACACGCGUAGAGGCGCCGUGCUGACCGUUCCGGGACGGGGGUUCGAUUCCCCCCGGCUCCA
rnacentral:tmRNA from 1 species